rnacentral:piRNA from 1 species
UCCUCUGUCACGAUUCACCCAAUCCACAA